rnacentral:rRNA from 1 species
AUGCGCCCCUGUGCUAUAGCCGACGCCUCUAUUCGUCAUGGCCACCGGCCAUGGAGGCCUCCGUGCUGGCCCUGGUGUGUUCGUGGAGCCAUUGGACCAUGGACAAGUCUCGCGGCCGUCGCCCUGCAUCGCGCCAAGUCCCUGCAUCGUGCCCCUGUUGUUGUUGACGCCAAGCCCAACUGUCACCGAACAGGGAAUAUGUCGAGUACCAGGUCAAUGAAAUCGCCAAGUUCGUCUUUCGAUGUCAAGUACCACGAUGUCAAGUACCUCUACGCACGGAUAACGCCAAGUACAUGGAUACGCCGAGCUUCUCUCCGAAUGUGUGUACGACUAGCGUAG